CACUAUCCUCCCUUCGCUACUUUCUCUCCGACAAAAAAUCCUUUCCUUAUCCUCUUUCCCUCGUCUAGAUCAAAUCCGGUGAAGCAGCGGCUAGGGAGGUCGAGGCGAGGCGGCGGACCGGAUGAGCCUGGAGAGCAGAUCAGCCGGCAAGCCGGACCAGCAGCGCCGCCGUCUCCUCCUUGCUCUUUCUAUGAGCAGGAGCAGGGGUCGCCCAGCCGCCGCAGCCCCGACGGGAAAGGGCCGCCGCGGUCCUCCUCUCGGCUACGCGCUUGGCCGCCGCGCUCCUCCAGCCACCUCCCAGCGCCGCCCGCCGCGCCAAGUACACCCCGGCCGCCUCCUCCACUUGCCUACUCCUGGCGGCGCGCGCCGCGCCUAGCACGCGCACGGCCGUUCCCCUCCUGCUGCCUCCUCCUAGCGACGCACGCCGCGGUCGGGAGGGCCUGUUUCCCUAGGUCCCCAACGCCGACGGUCGAUUACAGUGCCAUCUAGGUGUUGUUGCUGCAUACUUGGGUGGGAGAUUGAACAUAUGUGCCUACUUUCUUCUAUCGGCAGAGUUGAGCUUGCCGGUCGGGCGUCACGCCUCUGAGCUCCUACGCGGAGGACGACCUAGGCCUCAGAUUUGGUGUUUCGUGUCUGCAGCUGCAGUUUCCGAGCCCAAAAUGGCUGGAGAAGGAGAUGUGCGUGACAAUGAAACAGAGGGUUCUGCAAAUACGAUCUCACGACGGAACUCAAAAAGGGCUGCUAAGCGGCAGCCGCGUGGCGAUGAUAAGGACGGGGAUGGAGAGGGUGACGAUGGUGGUGAAAGAUUCCUCUUAGUAAAACUGCAGAGAAGAAAGGUGCGCACGGAGGCAGUAUCCAAAGGGGUAGAUGCCACAUCUUCUGCAGCAGCCGCUGAGGGGGGGUGAGGGUAAUGAAGGAGAUAAUGCAGAACGACAGUCACAAGCUGGUAGGAUAAGGGCAUCACCUGGGAGGUUGGUGAAGUUGAACAAUAAGUUGAGCCCAUUACAAAAGUCCCCCCUCUGCCACAAGCUGUUUGGAGGCCUGGAUUCAUGUUUUAGUUGCACACAUUUACAGAAAAAGUUGGCUUUACAUUCAUGUUUAGUUGCACAAAUAUGUGUUUUUUUUGCACAGACUGCACACAUCCAUGUUUGUGUGUGUUGAUUGCACACAUUUACAGCAAAAGCUGGCUUUUGGAUCCAUGGUUAGUUUGCACAUCUCUUUUCUAGUCUUGGCUGUUUGGUUGCACACAUAGAAGGAAAAGUUGGUUUUGGAUCCAUGUUUUAGUUGGCACAAAUAUAGGCUUCUAUUUGCACACAUGGCAUAAAAAGGUUUCUUUUGGAACCCAUGUUUUUUUA